rnacentral:rRNA from 1 species
GCCUAUUGAAAGUUAAUUUUAGGUUUUACCUGCCCCACUGAGUAUUUAAAUGGCCGCAGUAUUUUGACUGUGCUAAGGUAGCAUAAUCAUUAGUUUUUUAAUUGAAAGCUAGUAUGAAGGGUUUGAUGAAAAAAAAACUGUCUUUUUAUAAUUAAAUUAAAAUUUUAUUAUUAAGUUAAAAAGCUUAAAUUUUUUUAAAAGACGAGAAGACCCUAUAGAGUUUAAUUUUUUUAUUUUAUAUAAUAUUUAGAAUUUAAAAUUAUAUAUUUUAUAAAAAUUUAAUUGGGGUGAUUGAAAAAUUUAAUAAACUUUUUUUAUUUUUAUUUAUAAAUUUAUAUAUUUUUGAUCCAUAGAUAAAUGAUUAUAAGAUUAAAUUACCUUAGGGAUAACAGCGUAAUUUUAUUGGAGAGUUCAAAUCGAUAAUAAAGAUUGCGACCCCGAUGUUGGAUUAAAA